UGAGAAAAGGUCCACUUGGGAUUAAAGGAGUGAGAAAAGGCCCAAUAGUGAUUAAAGGAGUGAGGAAAGGUCCACUAGUGAUUAAAGGAGUGAGAAAAUGCCCAAUAGGGAUUAAAAGAGUGAGAAAAGGCCCAAUAGUGAUUAAAGGAGUGAGAAAGGGGCGUAAGCAAUUAAAGGAGUGAGAAAAGGUCCACUUGGGAUUAAAGGAGUGAGAAAAUGCCCAAUAGGGAUUAAAGGAGUGAGUAAAGGUCCAACAGGAAUUAAAGGAGUGAGAAAAGACCCAAUAGAGAUUACAAGCAAUUAAAGGAGUGAGGAAAGGUCAAUUUGGGAUAAACGUGUGAGAUAAGGUCCACUUGAGAUUAAAGGAGUGAGAAAAUACCCAAUAGGGGUAAAAGGAGUGAGGAAAGGUCCACUUGGGAUUAAAGGUGUGAGAUAAAGUCCACUUGAGAUUGAAGGAGUGAGAAAAUACCCAAUAGUGAUUAAAGGAGUGAGAAAAGGCCCAAAGCGAUUAAAGGAGUGAGAAAAGGUCCACUUGGGAUUAAAGGAGUGAGAAAAGGCCCAAUAGGGAUUAAAGAAGUGAGCAAAUACCCAUUAGGGGUUAAAGGAGUGAGAAAAGGCCCAAUAGGGAUUAAAGAAGUGAGCAAAUACCCAUUAGGGGUUAAAGGAGUGAGAAAAGGUCCACUUGGGAUUAAAGGUGUGAGAAAAGGCCCAAAGCGAUUAAAGGAUUUAGAAAAGGUCCACUUGGGAUUAAAGGAGUGAGAAAAGACCCAAUAGGUUAUUACAGGAGUGAGAAAAGGACCAAUACGAAUUAAAGGAGUGAGAAAAGGCCCAAAGCGAUUAAAGGAGUGAGAAAAGGUCCACUUCAGAUUAAAGGAGUGAGAAAAUGCCCAAUAGGGAUUAAAGGAGUGAGAAAAGGCCCAAUAGUGAUUAAAGGAGUGAGAAAAGGCCCAAAGAAAUUAAAGGAGUGAGCAAAGGUCCACUUAGGGUUAAAGGAGUGAGAAAAUGCCCAAUAGGGAUUAAAGGAGUGAGAAAAGGCCCAAAGCAAUUAAAGGAGUGAGGAAAGG
rnacentral:lncRNA from 13 species